AGAAAAGAGACUGAGAUUGUAAUUGUCUGUUACUGCACGUUAAAAGGUAGCUGUAAGCCUCCUUAGCACAGGGUAAUUUUUGUGUCAUGUUUGCAGAUGGGUGUAGGGGCUGGUAAGUCAUUAGUACGUUUACUUAAUUUUGAUACUUUGUUACAUUUUUGUCUCAGCUUGUUAGGUUGAAUAGUAGUGAAAGACCACAUUUUUUCCCCCUCCUUUGGAGAGAAAAUAGUGACAAGCCAGAGUUGUUUGUGAAGUGCUGCUACCCUGGAUGUGGGGACCGUGAGCCUCCAUCUCUACACCCUUGCUGAGCCUGGAUUCCUGGUGAAUGGAUUGUAGGCAUUUCUGGAUAAUUGUGGUGAAGGGAGACUGUAUCUGAGAGCUGCUGUGGCCGCCUGUCAUGGCUAAUAAACGACAAU